AUUGAACGCUGGCGGCAGGCCUAACACAUGCAAGUCGAACGAGUGGCGGACGGGUGAGUAAUGUCUGGGAAACUGCCUGAUGGAGGGGGAUAACUACUGGAAACGGUAGCUAAUACCGCAUAACAUCAGAUGUGCCCAGAUGGGAUUAGCUUGUUGGUGGGGUAACGGCUCACCAAGGCGACGCUCCCUAGCUGGUCUGAGAGGAUGACCAGCCAGACUGGAACUGAGACACGGUCCAGACUCGUACGGGAGGCAGCAGUGGGGAAUAUUGCACAAUGGGCGAAAUCCUGAUCCAGCCAUGACGCGUGUGUGAAGAAGGCCGUCGGAUUGUAAAGCACUUUAAGUUGGGAGGCGUUACCAACAGAAUAAGCACCGGCUAACUUCGUGCCAGCAGCCGCGGUAAUAC
rnacentral:rRNA from 1 species